CUAUGCAAAGAUACGAAAAGCAAGAAGGAAAAUACAUAAAGAGUGAAACACGUGCUUUACCAACCGGAGAACGUUUGGAACUACUUCAAUGGAGUAUGGCGAGUUCAAAUAUGUAUCUAAUUUGUUGUGAACACGUUGUUGUUGGAGAAGCUUGCAAACAAUUUCCAGAAUUUGUGAUGGACGAACCAU